AGUGAACGCUGGCGGUAUGCCUAACACAUGCAAGUCGAACGACACCACAGUGGAUGUUUGUCCCUAGUUAGGGAGAGUCGGACGCGUGAGGGAUACACGUGAAUCUGCUCAGUCAUAGGGGGGAACGAAAGGCAAAAAACACUAAUACCGCAUAAUACCUCCUGGAGUAACAGGGUUAUGGCAAGACCGCUGGCGCAUGCUAUCGCCAAGGGCUGGAUACCUGGUGGAUUAGCUAGUUGGCCGGGUAAGGGCCUACCAAGGCGACGAUGCAUAGCCGGUCUGAGAGGAUGAUCAGCCACACUGGAACUGAGACACGGUCCAGACUCCUACGGGAGGCAGCAGUGGGGAAUCUUCGACAAUGGGCGCAAGCCUGAUCGAGCAAUGCCGCGUGAGUGAAGAAGGCCUUCGGGUCGUAAAGCUCUGUUGUUAGGAAAGAAAUCCUUAAAGAUAAUCCCCUAGGAGGAUGACGGUACCUAAAGAAAAAGCCACGGCUAACUUCGUG
rnacentral:rRNA from 1 species